AGAGCGUCUCGGAUCAUUGACAACUAAAUAGGAGCAGCAACGUCCAAUUAAAGGGCCCUGAUCACGAAACACAGUAAUUAAAAUGAAUCGUGGAGAGUUUUGAUCCUGGCUCAGAACGAACGCUGGCGGCGUGCCUAACACAUGCAAGUCCAACGUGAAAGGGGAGCAAUCCCCCGGUAGGGUGGCAAACGGGUGAGUUAAUACAUGGGUGAUCUACCUUAGGGAUGGGAUAUCCUUC
rnacentral:rRNA from 1 species